rnacentral:lncRNA from 1 species
GCCACCCGGUGAAUGGAACUGAAAUGCUACAGGAGUUUGCUUUGGGAUGGUAGGUGCAGUGCUGCUAAUGGCUGAGGGCAUCACUGAGAUGUUCUGUAACUCACUGCAGGCGAGAUGCCGCUUCAGUAUCCCAUACCUUUGGCUGCUCUUCGUCUACUAUACCUCCUCACACUUCUCCCAGUCACCUUUCCAGCAGCUGUGAUUCCAGCUGAUUUUGGCCACCCACAUUGAUCU